rnacentral:misc_RNA from 1 species
UUUGGUUAUUCUCUUAGAUAAUCAUUCUCAGAAUUCAUGUUGAAGUGCCUUAUGCUAUUGAUGUUGUUUACAAAUACAUUGAUUCUUCUGGUGAUAACUUAUCAUCUUGUAUUAUUUGUACAUACUUCUGCUGAUCUUGAUAGGGCCUCGAUGAAUUUAUGUUAAUAGGUUUGCUUGGGCGGAUGAUAAAUGGGUGCAAAUAGGUGAUUCUUUUUUUAAUUUUUUAUAUUAUCUAUCCUCAAACACAAUCACUCGAGUUUGUAUUUGCAAUAUAUUUAAAAUUUUCUACAGGAUUUGGGAAAAGUUGAAAAGUUGCUUUGAUGUAGGCAUGUAGCCCCUUGAGCCUACCAGUAUGUUAGAGGGAGAAUUAUUUGUCGAAUAUGUCAGAUUGAAACAUGAUAAAUUAUCCUUGUGCUUUAAGACUCUAAAUAAAUGUUUGUAAAAUACAACGUUCUUCCUUUACAGCGUUCCUUUUUUAUUAGUUGUAUAUUUUGGUGUUUGAUGCUUACAUAAUAUCUCACUCGCUUUCUCUAUUGAAUUUUUUUAUGCACUUUUGAUAAG